rnacentral:rRNA from 1 species
UUAAGCGACUAAGCGUACACGGUGGAUGCCCUGGCAGUCAGAGGCGAUGAAGGACGUGCUAAUCUGCGAUAAGCGUCGGUAAGGUGAUAUGAACCGUUAUAACCGGCGAUUUCCGAAUGGGGAAACCCAGUGUGUUUCGACACACUAUCAUUAACUGAAUCCAUAGGUUAAUGAGGCGAACCGGGGGAACUGAAACAUCUAAGUACCCCGAGGAAAAGAAAUCAACCGAGAUUCCCCCAGUAGCGGCGAGCGAACGGGGAGGAGCCCAGAGCCUGAAUCAGUGUGUGUGUUAGUGGAAGCGUCUGGAAAGGCGCGCGAUACAGGGUGACAGCCCCGUACACAAAAAUGCACAUACUGUGAGCUCGAUGAGUAGGGCGGGACACGUGGUAUCCUGUCUGAAUAUGGGGGGACCAUCCUCCAAGGCUAAAUACUCCUGACUGACCGAUAGUGAACCAGUACCGUGAGGGAAAGGCGAAAAGAACCCCGGCGAGGGGAGUGAAAAAGAACCUGAAACCGUGUACGUACAAGCAGUGGGAGCACGCUUAGGCGUGUGACUGCGUACCUUUUGUAUAAUGGGUCAGCGACUUAUAUUCUGUAGCAAGGUUAACCGAAUAGGGGAGCCGAAGGGAAACCGAGUCUUAACUGGGCGUUAAGUUGCAGGGUAUAGACCCGAAACCCGGUGAUCUAGCCAUGGGCAGGUUGAAGGUUGGGUAACACUAACUGGAGGACCGAACCGACUAAUGUUGAAAAAUUAGCGGAUGACUUGUGGCUGGGGGUGAAAGGCCAAUCAAACCGGGAGAUAGCUGGUUCUCCCCGAAAGCUAUUUAGGUAGCGCCUCGUGAAUUCAUCUCCGGGGGUAGAGCACUGUUUCGGCAAGGGGGUCAUCCCGACUUACCAACCCGAUGCAAACUGCGAAUACCGGAGAAUGUUAUCACGGGAGACACACGGCGGGUGCUAACGUCCGUCGUGAAGAGGGAAACAACCCAGACCGCCAGCUAAGGUCCCAAAGUCAUGGUUAAGUGGGAAACGAUGUGGGAAGGCCCAGACAGCCAGGAUGUUGGCUUAGAAGCAGCCAUCAUUUAAAGAAAGCGUAAUAGCUCACUGGUCGAGUCGGCCUGCGCGGAAGAUGUAACGGGGCUAAACCAUGCACCGAAGCUGCGGCAGCGACGCUUAUGCGUUGUUGGGUAGGGGAGCGUUCUGUAAGCCUGUGAAGGUGUACUGUGAGGUAUGCUGGAGGUAUCAGAAGUGCGAAUGCUGACAUAAGUAACGAUAAAGCGGGUGAAAAGCCCGCUCGCCGGAAGACCAAGGGUUCCUGUCCAACGUUAAUCGGGGCAGGGUGAGUCGACCCCUAAGGCGAGGCCGAAAGGCGUAGUCGAUGGGAAACAGGUUAAUAUUCCUGUACUUGGUGUUACUGCGAAGGGGGGACGGAGAAGGCUAUGUUGGCCGGGCGACGGUUGUCCCGGUUUAAGCGUGUAGGCUGGUUUUCCAGGCAAAUCCGGAAAAUCAAGGCUGAGGCGUGAUGACGAGGCACUACGGUGCUGAAGCAACAAAUGCCCUGCUUCCAGGAAAAGCCUCUAAGCAUCAGGUAACAUCAAAUCGUACCCCAAACCGACACAGGUGGUCAGGUAGAGAAUACCAAGGCGCUUGAGAGAACUCGGGUGAAGGAACUAGGCAAAAUGGUGCCGUAACUUCGGGAGAAGGCACGCUGAUAUGUAGGUGAAGUCCCUCGCGGAUGGAGCUGAAAUCAGUCGAAGAUACCAGCUGGCUGCAACUGUUUAUUAAAAACACAGCACUGUGCAAACACGAAAGUGGACGUAUACGGUGUGACGCCUGCCCGGUGCCGGAAGGUUAAUUGAUGGGGUUAGCGCAAGCGAAGCUCUUGAUCGAAGCCCCGGUAAACGGCGGCCGUAACUAUAACGGUCCUAAGGUAGCGAAAUUCCUUGUCGGGUAAGUUCCGACCUGCACGAAUGGCGUAAUGAUGGCCAGGCUGUCUCCACCCGAGACUCAGUGAAAUUGAACUCGCUGUGAAGAUGCAGUGUACCCGCGGCAAGACGGAAAGACCCCGUGAACCUUUACUAUAGCUUGACACUGAACAUUGAGCCUUGAUGUGUAGGAUAGGUGGGAGGCUUUGAAGUGUGGACGCCAGUCUGCAUGGAGCCGACCUUGAAAUACCACCCUUUAAUGUUUGAUGUUCUAACGUUGACCCGUAAUCCGGGUUGCGGACAGUGUCUGGUGGGUAGUUUGACUGGGGCGGUCUCCUCCUAAAGAGUAACGGAGGAGCACGAAGGUUGGCUAAUCCUGGUCGGACAUCAGGAGGUUAGUGCAAUGGCAUAAGCCAGCUUGACUGCGAGCGUGACGGCGCGAGCAGGUGCGAAAGCAGGUCAUAGUGAUCCGGUGGUUCUGAAUGGAAGGGCCAUCGCUCAACGGAUAAAAGGUACUCCGGGGAUAACAGGCUGAUACCGCCCAAGAGUUCAUAUCGACGGCGGUGUUUGGCACCUCGAUGUCGGCUCAUCACAUCCUGGGGCUGAAGUAGGUCCCAAGGGUAUGGCUGUUCGCCAUUUAAAGUGGUACGCGAGCUGGGUUUAGAACGUCGUGAGACAGUUCGGUCCCUAUCUGCCGUGGGCGCUGGAGAACUGAGGGGGGCUGCUCCUAGUACGAGAGGACCGGAGUGGACGCAUCACUGGUGUUCGGGUUGUCAUGCCAAUGGCACUGCCCGGUAGCUAAAUGCGGAAGAGAUAAGUGCUGAAAGCAUCUAAGCACGAAACUUGCCCCGAGAUGAGUUCUCCCUGACUCCUUGAGAGUCCUGAAGGAACGUUGAAGACGACGACGUUGAUAGGCCGGGUGUGUAAGCGCAGCGAUGCGUUGAGCUAACCGGUACUAAUGAACCGUGAGGCUUAACCUU